AAGCAUGAGUUCAGCUCAUAUAUCUUUUUUUUUUUUUUUCAAUUUGCCCGUGCUCUUAUAUCUGUUUUUUUUUUCAAUUUGCCUGUGUUCUCAUGUUUUUGUGCAGCAAUGCGUCCUUAUUAUUUGUUUUUCAGAAAAAAACAAGUGUGAUUUUUUUUCAAAAUUUGACUUCAUCGCAUAGGGGAGCGCGCGCCAACGGCUCUGAAACCUUCCAGAACAUGGACGCCCUGCAAGUCCUCUCGCCCACCUGGAGAAGGCCUUCCCGUGGGUUGUUUGAUUUGCACCCGCCGCUCCUCAUCACUCAUACGCAUCUACCAGAGGUCAGUGCGUCCCACCAUACUCAGUGCCCCUGACGUCUAUCAAGCGGCCCACUCCGAAGGGAAUUGCAACAGCACUACCAGAGGUACUGGGUGAUUGUAGGAUUGCUCUUGAGGAGACCGUCUUGCUGUCAAAAGGAAUCGAUCAUCCAUUGUGAGUUUGUCAUUUUCUUCAAGUUUGAAAUUU